UCGACUAUGAUUUAGUUCCAGUUCAAAUAACUAUUAUAUUUCGUUUUAGUCGUGUCAGACAAGUUGUCAAGCUAAUUAAUUUUGUGAAAUCCAUAUAAUACGUAUACGCGUAGCUAUUUCAAUUCGUUGCAGCUAUGCUUCCAGAAAGGUAUAAAAUGGAAGGCCCAAGCCCGAUCGUUAUCAUCGUUUUAAACGAAAACUAGAAUCAACAUGAAAUUGAUACUUCUCGCUGCUGUGCUUGGUGUCUUGGCAUCAGGCAGCUUUGUUGUCGCUCAGAACACUGAUGGAGACUACGUAGUCUUAGACCGAAGACCAAUCGGCUAAAACUGAUUUUUUUUUUUAAAUAUAAAGUGUAUUUAAAUUCAAAAUAAGUUUUCGGGAUAUUAAAGCAAAGUAGUAGGAUUUGGUUUUUACCUAUCCAGUUCGAACCCAUAAAA